rfam:Lautropia mirabilis ATCC 51599 genomic scaffold SCAFFOLD1, whole genome shotgun sequence.
GCCUCGUCGACCUGCUGGGGGGCGAUGAAGUGGAUGUGGGUGUCGAUGCCCCCCGCAGUGACGAUGCGCCCUUCGGCCGCGACGAUCUCGGUCGAGGCACCGAUGGGAAUGGUCACGCCGGGCUGGAUGUCCGGAUUGCCGGCCUUUCCGAUGGCGGCGAUGCGGCCGUUCUUCACGCCGAUGUCGGCCUUGACGAUGCCCCAGUGAUCGACGAUCAGGGCAUUGGUCAGCACCAGAUCCAUGACAUCGGCGGCCAGCUGCUGGCCCUGCCCCAUGCCAUCACGGAU